UGCUAAUACCCCAUAUCCUGAGGAGGGAAAGGAGAGAUCCGCCCAGGGAGGGGCUUGCGUCUGAUUAGCUAGUUGGGGGGGGUAAUGGCCUCCCAAGGCAACGAUCAGUUGCUGGUCUGAGAGGAUGAUCAGCCACACUGGGACUGAGACACGGCCCAGACUCCUACGGGAGGCAGCAGUGAGGAAUCUUCCGCAAUGGGCGAAAGCCUGACGGGGCAAUGCCGCGUGGAGGAUGAAGGCCCAAUGGGUCGUAAACUUCUUUAGAUCAGAGACGAAGAGAUGACGGUACCUGAAGAACUAAGCAUCGGCUAAACCCCGUGCCAGCAGCCGCGGUAAGACGGGGGAUGCAAGCGUUAUCCGGAAUGAUUGGGCGUAAAGGGUCCGCAGGUGGCCCGGUCAGUCCGCUGUCAAAGCCUGGGGCUCAACCCUGGAGAGGCGGCGGAGACCACCGGGCUUGAGUCCGGUAGGGGCAGAGGGAAUUCCCGGUGGAGCGGUGAAAUGCGUAGAGAUCGGGAAGAACGCCAAGGGCGAAGGCACUCUGCUAGGCCUGAUUUCGCGACUGACACUCAGGGACGAGAGCCAGGGGAGCGAAUGGGAUUAGAUACCCCAGUAGUCCUGGCCGUAAACGAUGGAUACCAAGCCCUGCGCG
rnacentral:rRNA from 1 species